rnacentral:rRNA from 1 species
UGGGCAACCUGCCCCUCUCUCUGGGAUAACCCCCGGGGAAAACCGGAGCUAAUACCGGAUACUCCGGCUGGAUCGCAUGGUCCGGCCGGGAAAGGUCCGCCGGAGAGGGAUGGGCCCGCGGCCUAUCAGCUUGUUGGUGGGGUCAUGGCUCAGCAAGGCGACGACGGGUAGCUGGUCUGAGAGGACGACCAGCCACACUGGAACUGAGAUACGGCCCAGACCUCCGUACGGGAGGCA